AUUGAACGCUGGCGGCAUGCCUUACACAUGCAAGUCGAACGGUAACAGAUCUUCGGAUGCUGACGAGUGGCGAACGGGUGAGUAAUACAUCGGAACGUGCCUAGUAGCGGGGGAUAACUACUCGAAAGAGUGGCUAAUACCGCAUGAGAUCUACGGAUGAAAGCAGGGGAACGCAAGACCUUGUGCUACUAGAGCGGCCGAUGGCAGAUUAGGUAGUUGGUGGGAUAAAAGCUUACCAAGCCGACGAUCUGUAGCUGGUCUGAGAGGACGAUCAGCCACACUGGGACUGAGACACGGCCCAGACUCCUACGGGAGGCAGCAGUGGGGAAUUUUGGACAAUGGGCGCAAGCCUGAUCCAGCAAUGCCGCGUGCAGGAUGAAGGCCUUCGGGUUGUAAACUGCUUUUGUACGGAACGAAAAGCCCUGGGUUAAUACCCUGGGGUCAUGACGGUACCGUAAGAAUAAGCACCGGCUAACUACGUGCCAGCAGCCGCGGUAAAAC
rnacentral:rRNA from 1 species